rnacentral:rRNA from 1 species
UACGAAGGGGGCUAGCGUUGCUCGGAAUGACUGGGCGUAAAGGGCGCGUAGGCGGUUUGUACAGUCAGGUGUGAAAUUCCCGGGCUCAACCUGGGAACUGCGCUUGAGACUGGCACGCUCGAGUUCGGGAGAGGAUGGUGGAAUUCCCAGUGUAGAGGUGAAAUUCGUAGAUAUUGGGAAGAACACCGAUGGCGAAGGCAGCCAUCUGGACCGACACUGACGCUGAGGCGCGAAAGCGUGGGGAGCAAACAGG